UACGAAGGACCCGAGCGUUAUCCGGAUUUACUGGGUUUAAAGGGUGCGUAGGUGGACCCAUAAGUCAGUGGUGAAAGCCUCCCGCUUAACGGGAGAACUGCCAUUGAUACUGUGGGUCUUGAGUAUAGUUGAGGUAGGCGGAAUAUGUCAUGUAGUGGUGAAAUACUUAGAUAUGACAUAGAACACCGAUUGCGAAGGCAGCUUGCUAAGCUAUAACUGACACUGAUGCACGAAAGCGUGGGGAUCAAACAGG
rnacentral:rRNA from 1 species